ACGUCGGUAGUGCAAUUAGCUGAGCACGCGCCUCCGGAAAAGGUGAAAUGCGAGUUAGAGUCUCGCCUGACGUC